GACGAACGCUGGCGGCGUGCCUAAUACAUGCAAGUAGAACGCUGAAGAGAGGAGCUUGCUCUUCUUGGAUGAGUUGCGAACGGGUGAGUAACGCGUAGGUAACCUGCCUGGUAGCGGGGGAUAACUAUUGGAAACGAUAGCUAAUACCGCAUAAAAUUGAUUAUUGCAUGAUAGUCAAUUGAAAGGUGCAACUGCACCACUACCAGAUGGACCUGCGUUGUAUUAGCUAGUUGGUGGGGUAACGGCUCACCAAGGCGACGAUACAUAGCCGACCUGAGAGGGUGAUCGGCCACACUGGGACUGAGACACGGCCCAGACUCCUACGGGAGGCAGCAGUAGGGAAUCUUCGGCAAUGGACGGAAGUCUGACCGAGCAACGCCGCGUGAGUGAAGAAGGUUUUCGGAUCGUAAAGCUCUGUUGUAAGAGAAGAACGAGUGUGAGAGUGAAAUUUUCACACUGGGACGGU
rnacentral:rRNA from 1 species